rnacentral:ncRNA from 1 species
CGGCCUGAGGUCGGACGAGGCUACCCGCUGAAUUUAAGCAUAUUACUAAGCGGAGGAAAAGAAACUAACGAGGAUUCCCUCAGUAACGGCGAGUGAAGCGGGACGAGCCCAGCGCCGAAUCCGGCCGCUUAUGGAGCGGACGGAAUUGUGGCGUAUGGAAUUCGCUUCGAGCGCGGACCGGCUGCCCACGUCCUUCUGAUCGAGGCUUCAUCCCACUAGCGGGUGUCAGGCCCUUGGCGGCGGCUGGC